UCCUUCUAGGGAAGGGCUGGGGAGGAGGGGGUGGUGACACGGUAGAGGCACCGGCAGGGCCCGGGGGCCUGCCCUUGGGACAGGUCCAGACCCAUGGAGCCCCCUGAAAAGAGCAGCAGGUCCACAGCGUCUCAUACUCUACACCAGUAUUGCUGUCCUACUCAGGUCCUUGACUCCAUGAAGCUUACCCCCUCAGGCAGGCUGGCAGAGAGCAGGGAAGAGGAGGAGGAGGAGGAGACUGAGGAAGAGGAAGAGGAAGACGCUCACCAGUUCUGCUGUCCGGCCUCCGAGUGCAGCAGUCCCUCCUCUCGGUAACUGAGAGGACAAGGGCCAUUUUCUAUGCAGAAGCAAAAGCCUUAACCAGCCCAUCCCCCCAGCCCUCGCGGAUCCCUGUCCCCUGCUUCAGGAACCAGACGGGCAAGCAUCGCGCCCCUUCCUCCCCCACCUCCUUCUCGGAAUUUCUACCCCCUGCUGCUGUCUCCCCUGGACUCCAGCUCCUGAUUUAAAAACAGCUGGAGCCCUAAAUCUGAAUAAAAUGUGGGAGAAGCAGAGCUUGGAGCUUGGAGCUUGGAACCUGGACCCUCCCGCACCCGCACUCCCACUUCCCAGGCACCCUGGAGCCUGCCAUUCCUGGAGAGGUCUCCAAAUGACACCCCAAGGACCUACCUCUGUCCUCUGUGAGCACAAACAGAGAUGCAGGGUGCCUAGGGCUCAGAGGACCAGACGGGGACAGGACCCAGCCUGCCUAGUUCCCCGUCGUUCGUUCCCUUGCUGUGGCCAUAGCUGCCAUCUCCUCCACUGCUUGAAGGCCUCAACCCACACCCCCUACCACUCCCAUAGUGCUCUGUAAAUAUGAACAGGAGGAAAAAGCCUCUCAGAGUACAUGUUGCUGUGAACAAAGGAAUUUCCAUCAAUAAAAGCUGAUCUCUUCUCUC